UUAAGUUCAGCGGGUAUCCCUACCUGAUCCGAGGUCAAGCGUAAAAGUAUAGACUUGUGGACGCCGCCGCUCCCAGCGGAGAGCGCAAAUUGUGCUGCGCUCCCACGCGGGACGGCUGGCUGCCAAUGCAUUUGAGGCGAGUUCACGCGUGUAGCGGACGAAACAAGCCCAACACCCAGCAGGGCUGGAGGGUACAAAUG
rnacentral:misc_RNA from 1 species